rnacentral:misc_RNA from 1 species
GAUGAAGAACGUAGCGAAAUGCGAUACUUGGUGUGAAUUGCAGAAUCCCGUGAACCAUCGAGUCUUUGAACGCAAGUUGCGCCCGAAGCCAUUAGGCCGAGGGCACGCCUGCCUGGGCGUCACACGUCGUUGCCCCCCCAUCUACUCCUUCGGGAUUGCGGGGGGCGGAUGAUGGCCUCCCGUGGGCCUCGUCGCGCGGUUGGCAUAAAUGCCAAGUCCUCGGCGACACACGCCACGACAAUCGGUGGUUGCGAAACCUCGGUUGCCCGUCGUGUGCGGUCGUCGCGCAUCGAGGGCUCGAAAAAAUUGCCGGGCUCCGGCUCGGCUUUCAACGCGACCCCAGGUCAGGCGGGGUUACCCGCUGAAUUUAAGCAUAUCAAUAAGCGGAGGA